UCUAGGGAUAUGAUGAGUGGGACAACGGUGAAAGCGUAAGCGAGUACCCAAGUACCUACCGCUAUCCUGGUCGAGCGCCGAAGCAAGCGCAAGUGCGUUUCGGUGAGGUCAAGAGUACUGCUCUCAAGACCGGUUGUGUCUUUCCAAUCACGAUUCAGGUGUUAACGGCGUCAGGCACUUUAGCAGCCUCGCCAGACACGAAAACUCUGCUGGAAACGGCAGAUUAGUCGCGUCGAGGGGUUGACAAACGGUAAUCUAACCAUUAGAAUACCGAUACUGCUCGAAAGAAGUGGACGAGAGACAGACUAUAUGACGGUGGACGCGCAAACGGCAUAACCGCAAGACAUCCCCAAACGUGUCGCGUUGCGCGGCCCGAUGAGAUGUCGGGCCGUUUUCGUCUCUAGUCCCGGUCAGAGCUUGUCAGUCGAAGCAGAAAAACAAAAUCUCAGAGUUAGCAUCAUCGCUUUGAGAACGCACCUUAAAACACAGUCAGAAUUAUCCAAUGCUCAGGAACGGCAAGCAAGCGGCAGCCAGUAACUUGUCAGCUUGUCAGUCCUGAGCAGGGGAUAAGCCUGCACGGUCGGGAGAAAACGGUACUUGUCGUGAACAACAGGUAGCGAAGCUGACCAAGCACCUUAACAAGCGCAUAAGAAGAAGAAAAGGGACGCGAGAAAUCACGAUUUCUCCGUAACACAUGUGGAGAAGCUACAAGGGCGUACGGUGAAUGCCUGUGGCGUCAAGUGCCGAAGAAGGACGCGGUACACUGCGAAAAGCUCCAGUGAGGUGUGUGCAACCGCAAGAACUGGAGAUCU
rnacentral:misc_RNA from 1 species